rnacentral:rRNA from 1 species
UACGUAGGUGGCAAGCGUUGUCCGGAUUUAUUGGGUUUAAAGGGUGCGUAGGUGGUUUUAUAAGUCAGUGGUGAAAGCUGGUUGCUCAACAAUCAAGUUGCCAUUGAUACUGUUAGACUUGAGAGAAGUGGAGGUUCAUGGAAUGGAUGGUGUAGCGGUGAAAUGCAUAGAUAUCAUCCAGAACGUCGAUUGCGAAGGCAGUGGGCUGUACUUUUUCUGACACUGAGGCACGAAAGCGUGGGGAUCAAAC